rnacentral:rRNA from 1 species
CCCUUAGAUGUCCUGGGCCGCACGCGCGCUACACUGACGGAGCCAGCGAGCUUACCCCUUUGCCGAAAGGCAUGGGAAAUCUUUUGAAUCUCCGUCGUGCUGGGGAUAGAUCAUUGCAAUUAUUGAUCUUGAACGAGGAAUUCCUAGUAAGCGCAAGUCAUCAACUUGCGUUGAUUACGUCCCUGCCCUUUGUACACACCGCCCGUCGCUACUACCGAUUGAACGGUUUAGUGAGGGCCUCGGAUUGGUCUCGGCCCGCUCUUUACCGGGCGGCGCCGUUGGUCGAGAAGACGCUCGAACUUGAUCGUUUAGAGGAAGUAAAAGUCGUAACA